UGAGGAACAUGACCUUCGGCGGGGGAUAGCCGGCCCAACGGCCGGGUAAUACCGCGUACGGCCACAUGGGGACAUCCCUGAGUGGUGAAAGCAGCAAUGCGCCGAUGGAGUGCCUCGCGGCCUAUCAGCUAGUUGGUGAGGUAACGGCUCACCAAGGCGACGACGGGUAGCCGACCUGAGGAGGGUGUCCCGGCCACAUUGGAACUGAGACACGGUCCAGACUCCGUAGGGAGGNACGCG
rnacentral:rRNA from 1 species